UGAGACCCUGGAACUGAGCUGGUCCAGUGGACCGGCAGCCCCAAGGUUUUGGCCUCACGUGCGUCGCACGUGAGGGGGCGUGAAGAAGGGGAGAUCCGAAGAAGCCGGCAUCUGGUUGUUUUUAGGGCUUCUCCUCCUCUCGUUGAAGCCAUUGGAAGAGGAGCCGCAAACCCAAGUCCCUUCCUGGUUGGGGGUUCUUCUUCCUUGGGCUGCCGGCCGAGAGAGAGGGAGAGAGAGAAAGAGAGAGCCGAGCCAUAGCACGGACGACCCUUUCCUCCUCUAUUUGCCGCCAGAAAGAAGCCGUCGGACCAUCGUCGGGGCCGAGGUUCUGCGAGGAAUUUGUGAGAUUAAUUGGAUUUAUUGGGAAUUGCGUUUAAUAUUCCGAGAACUAACCUAUCAGGGAUUUAAAAUCGGAGAGCGACUAGAAGAACUGAAGCACAAGUUAUCCUAGAUUAGGCUUUAUUUAAAUUGAUGUUUUAUCUUUAUUGUUCCGCUGCGUAUUUAAAACUGUGAGACUAUAUAAUUUGGAUCAGUCAAUGGAGUAAGAUUGCAUUUAUUUCA